AUCAAGUAACUGCCGAAGACAGUAGGUGCUGUGAAGCGUAAGGAUAAAACGCCUACCGAGGAAGAAUUAAAUUCGAGAAUAGAAUUUAUACCUCUGUGUCUUUGGAUACGGAGGUUUUUUU
rnacentral:sRNA from 1 species